ensembl:lncRNA
CUAGCGUUCUUCAAGCGCGCACCGUCAAACGGCUGCCCGGAGUCCCGCAGCCGAAACCCGCAAUCCCGCCGCGUUGUCCUGCUUAUUCUUUACCGUGUGAAGGUAGAAGAAAUGAUCGGUUUCUCCCGACGGAGGAUGGCGGUGCGGCUACUCACCGUGUCCAGGUUUGUUGGGAGCCCGCCGGGCUGCCCUCUUCGCUGCUAAUGUUAGCACACUAGCAGGCUAAACACAACAACCCGCUCCGUGUGCGGAGGGUUGGUGCGCUUUUAUCGCUCUGCGCUGCGGUGAAACGGGUGAGUGAUGUGCGUACUUUUAUUCCAAAUUCGCUAAACACUCCGAUUAGGCGCCACUACCGCCUGUCGGGCUCCUUCGGGCCUGUUUACUGCGGAAAGUUAGCGAGAGGCGGUCGCUACCAGGCUGGAUGUUAUGGAUGUAGCCUCUUUCUUCUUCUGGGGAUAUUUGCGGCAGACGGCACACAGUAGAGGCGCCCUGCUGCCUCCACAGGUCAUUUGUAGAACGCCGUUCACAGAUUAAUCCUUAUGUUUUGGCAGCCCAUUCUGUAGUAGAUAAUUUUCUGGUUGCACCAUAUAUAAUUUCCCCCGAUAGGAUAUAUAAUCUUAUAGACGGAAAAAAAAUCCUCUGGUUUGUUUGAAUUUAUUUAAACCAAUCGCACUUGUCACUGGCGGGCUAAAUGAAGGAUGCAGCUUCAGUGUUCCCUCAAAAUAGUGAUGGUUUGAAUAGUUGUGGUGGAAUAUUUACAUGCAGGGAGGUGAGCACUAUGAUUAAAAUUGAUAAUUCUCUGAGAAAACCUAGGAGAGCUGCCUUACUGCAUGAGCCAAAUCCUGGGGAAAACUUGAAAUUUUGACUGUGGUAGGUUGUUGUUAUACAACCUACAUCUGGCAUGUCAGACACAGUUCCACUGACACAGGUAUGUCCAGUACAGUUGAGGAACUCAGUUACAGAUUUUGUUGCUUCACGAAGUGAUUUUAAAACAGCCCACAAAAUGUGUGAUGCUGAGAGGUAAUGAAGUUGUUGAUCCUGCGUGUGGAAUGUUGUCCCACUUGGCCUGAGGGGCUUGGAGGACAUUGUGAGGGACAAAAUCACUUUGUCUGGACAAGUCCAUCCAGAGCAUCAAGUGGCAGGUUGUCUGUCGUAUCACAGUGCCUGAUUGAUACAGUGGAGGUGUGGACAUCCAGGUGUCUUGUUAUGGUUCUGACUGACAUCCAGCAGCCAACAACCUGUUCUCAUUUUUUUUUUUUUUGUCAUCUGUAACACCAUGUUAUUUUAUUAAAUCUGCAUUUAAAGGUGGUGUUUAUUAGUCAAAGUGAUCACGAGUGUCUGUGUACUGGUCACAUUCUCUGAUCAUUGUUGUUUAGAGCUAAACCUGACAGGUUGUGGAUGAACUCAGCAGUUGAGAAGUUGUCUCCAAUUAUUAAGCAGCUGAAACACCUUUUGUGCAGUUUCUUACGAACUAUAACAACAGAAGUGUGUUUUUUACCUUCGUCUGAAAUCGAGAAGAAAGCCUACAGCAGACGGCUUUUAUAUUUUUGUUUAUUGUACUUUAUGUUGAAAGUCUUGACAAGAAGUUCGGUCUUCUUCUUCGCUGCUAGCUACGUUAGCCUCUUAGCCGUUAGCCCCUUAGCUGUUAGCAUCCCGACUGUCAGAAAGUUAAACCGGAGCGACUUUUACCUUCUUCUCUCGGAGAUUCUCGCGACUCUUCGCCUCCUGCCGUGCACCAGGUGUACCCAGGUGUUCACCUGUCGAGGACGCGGUUUAAAACUCUUAUUUUCGGGUUUUAUCUGGUACAAGUAUGGCGGCCCCGCGACACCGGAGGUGGAAGCGGAGUGAGUUAACCUCCCCGUGGGCGGGCUCCCUGAGAACAGCGGGGGAACCGACCUGAGGUCAGUAUGAGCUGCAGAUUCAUCGGCAGAGGGAUAGCAGCGUCCGGACAGAAACUGACUGCAAAUCAGCCAACACAAGUCCCGCCCGCUCCGAGUCUGUUGUUGAUUCAAAACAUGGGAAUUUAGCUCCGAUGAAAACUACCAUGUUGAUCUUUGAAUACAGUAGCUUUCAGACGCACGAUAUAAAGAUAACCAGAGUCUAAUAAAGCACACAACAGUAGGAAAUUGUUAAAUCAUUAUUCAACCAUUUUGUUCAUUCAUAAGUUUUCAACUUCAUAAAUUUGAAUAUUUUCUGGUUUCUUUCUUCCUCAAUGACAGUAAAUUGAACAUUAUUGGUUUGUGGACAAAACAGCAUUUAUUAUCUUACUUUGUCAAACACUGAUGGACAUUUGUCAGUAUUUUCUGAAGGAAAUAACUAAUCUGAUGUUAAUCAAUGUUCAGAAAACAGUGAGCAAUAAAAAUAGCACAAAUCUGUCGUUAUAUUUAAAAUAACACAAAAUGACAGUUUCCAUGAAUCUAAUGUAAUAAUGUGUUGUCAUAAUUGAAAUUUGAUUUGUAUGUUGUUUUUUGUUUGCUUUAUCUUUGUCUAUCACAUUAAAGUACAUUUAUCAAAACUCACAA